rnacentral:rRNA from 1 species
AUUGAACGCUGGCGGCAGGCCUAACACAUGCAAGUCGAGCGGCAGCGGGAAAGUAGCUUGCUACUUUUGCCGGCGAGCGGCGGACGGGUGAGUAAUGCCUGGGAAAUUGCCCAGUCGAGGGGGAUAACAGUUGGAAACGACUGCUAAUACCGCAUACGCCCUACGGGGGAAAGCAGGGGACCUUCGGGCCUUGCGCGCUCGGAUAUACCCAGGUGGGAUUAGCUAGUUGGUGAGGUAAUGGCUAACCAAGGCGACGAUCCCUAGCUGGUCUGAGAGGAUGAUCAGCCACACUGGAACUGAGACACGGUCCAGACUCCUACGGGAGGCAGCAGUGGGGAAUAUUGCACAAUGGGGGAAACCCUGAUGCAGCCAUGCCGCGUGUGUGAAGAAGGCCUUCGGGUUGUAAAGCACUUUCAGCGAGGAGGAAAGGUUGAUGCCUAAUACGUAUCAACUGUGACGUUACUCGCAGAAGAAGCACCGGCUAACUCCGUGCCAGCCGCCGCGGUAAAAC